UAAGUGAUAACUUUAGGGUUUUUAUCCCCUGUAUUGAGUUCACAGUAAAAGUUGCAGCGAUGAAAGAGCACCUUUUUUUAAAACUUUUGUAUGGGUAAAUUAUUGACGCGCUUGCCCAUACGAAUCAAUAAAAAAUCUCUUUCAGCGCUGCAACUUUUACAGUGAACUCUAUAUAAGGGACAC